AGAAUACACAUUAAUUAUCUCUAGGGCCAUGGGAAAAACAAAAAACCUGGAAAAAUAAGUUAGCACACCCUAUAAUGGUUCUAGCAUGAUUAUUAACCUAUGACUCUGAUACUAGUUGAUGGGAAAAACCU
rnacentral:pre_miRNA from 1 species